UGGCGGCCGCGGCUGGCGCUCGUGACUCACGGCUCCACUCCAAUGACAACCACUUUCUUGGCAUUAGUAAUGGAGUGAUUUGCCAUUGCCUUCUCCGUUUCACACACAUGUUAAUAAUCAAUCUGUUUGCAGGUUUCCUCACGAUAUUUUCCUUCACCGGAAGCAAGUGGUGGUCUUUGAAAACCAGGGACUUUUAGAUUCACUGGCGACAUCACCACCGCUUCAAAUAUCGUAUUGUAAACAAAUAUAUAUCGUACUAAAACGUAACAGUGUUAAAUUGUGUUUGAAACUGUCAAUAAUUUAAAAAAAAAUGGCGGCCCGUGCAACGCCAUUGGACUUGUUGAAAAACAUUUUUUUCUUUCAAAUAUUACAAUAAGGGUAUCAAAUAAAGGGCUCAAUACAAAUAUUUUUAAGUAGACGGGUGUUUUUUAAAAUUCUUUACUUUAAGUUCUAGACUUGUGUUAUGGGAUACUAACUCAACGAUACUUUAUUUUAUAACAUACAAGAUGUUGCCCGGGGCUUCGCUCCCGUAGGAAUUUUGAGAUAAAAUAUAGCCUAUAGCAAACUUGAAUAAUGUACCUUUCUAAUGCUAAAAGAAUUGUUGAAAUACGUUCGGUAGUUUCGGAGAUUACCCGUUUCAAACAUACAAACUCACAAACGCUUACUUCUUUAUAAUAAUAGUAUAGAUACAUAUAUACGAGGGGAGGUCAAUAAGUUCGCGGAAUGGAGGGGUUGGUGGGGGUAGGUUUUCUCGUCCAGGUAGUUAUUAGUUGAGCAUCUCAUUAAAAGUAUAUAUAUCAAAUUUGAACGUAAUCGGGUCAUUAACUUUUGUGUUAUCGACCUGUAAACAACUGAAUCGGGAAGAAAUCAGCCAGUAUGGAGAAAAUUGAACACUGCGCCGUUAUUAAGUUCCUUACCAAGCAAGGAAAAUCCGCUCAGAUUAUUUUUCAAGAGCUGUUGGCUGUUUACGGGGACUCUGCCCCUGGAAAAACCAUGGUUUACAAGUGGCAUGGUCUUUUCAAACAAGGAAGAGAGUCCAUUGAAGAUGACCCACGCUCCGGACGGCCAAUUGAGGCCACCCUUCGGAAAUCGUCGAAAAAGUAGAAAAACUUGUAUUGGAAGAUACCCGGUUGAAGAAGAAGCAGCUUGCAGCAAUGAUUGGAGUAUCCGAAACCAGUAUUUUGAAUAUUCUACAUGAUCAUCUUGGCAUGACUAAGGUCAGUGCAAGAUGGGUUCCGAGAAUGCUCACACCACUUCAAAAACGUGAACGUGUCGAGUGUUCUCGUCAGUUUUUGGAGCUCUGUGGAGAGAGAAAGGAAGCAAUUAUGGCCCGGAUUGUUACUGGUGAUGAAACCUGGGUUCACCACUAUGAACCUGAGUCGAAGCAAGAGUCGAUGCAGUGGCAUAAAAAAGGCACACCUCCUCCAAAGAAGUACAAAGUGACACAAUCGGCUGGCAAGAUCAUGGCGACUGUCUUUUGGGAUACAGAAGGCAUUUUAUUGAUCGAUUACAAAGAACGUGGUGUGACUAUAACGGGACAGUACUACGCUUCUUUACUGGAAAGAUUAAAAGAAGCUAUUAAGGAAAAAAUAAGAGGAAAGUUGUCAAAAGGUGUGCUCCUUCUGCACGACAACGCACCCGUUCACACGUGCCAUGUUGCGACGGCUGCCAUUCACCGAUGCGGCUUCGAACAAUUGAACCACC